rnacentral:rRNA from 1 species
AACGAACGCUGGCGGCAUGCCUAACACAUGCAAGUCGAACGAGACCUUCGGGUCUAGUGGCGCACGGGUGCGUAACGCGUGGGAACCUGCCCUUAGGUUCGGAAUAACUCCCCGAAAGGGGUGCUAAUACCGGAUAAUGUCUUCGGACCAAAGAUUUAUCGCCUUUGGAUGGGCCCGCGUUGGAUUAGCUAGUUGGUAGGGUAAAAGCCUACCAAGGCGACGAUCCAUAGCUGGUCUGAGAGGAUGAUCAGCCACACUGGGACUGAGACACGGCCCAGACUCCUACGGGAGGCAGCAGUGGGAAAUAUUGGACAAUGGGCGAAAGCCUGAUCCAGCAAUGCCGCGUGAGUGAUGAAGGCCGUAGGGUUGUAAAGCUCUUUUACCCGGGAUGAUAAUGACAGUACCGGGAGAAUAAGCUCCGGCUAACUCCG